rnacentral:rRNA from 1 species
AUAACGACUCUCGGCAACGGAUAUCUCGGCUCUCGCAUCGAUGAAGAACGUAGCGAAAUGCGAUACUUGGUGUGAAUUGCAGAAUCCCGUGAACCAUCGAGUCUUUGAACGCAAGUUGCGCCCGAAGCCAUUAGGUCGAGGGCACGCCUGCCUGGGCGYCUCGCA